rnacentral:rRNA from 1 species
UACUUUUGUUGAUUAGAGAGGCCCGGCGAAGAGGUCAGCUUGGUUUCGGGUAGGCUGCUAGUUAGGAGGCUGGUUUACGGAGCGUUCCGCUUUCGGCGCCUCGGAUGGGCCGCCAGGUUCCCGUUUGCUCAAGUAGGCUGGGUUCGCCGGCGGCGGUGGUGUCGGCGGCGGCAGUACCUCCGGCGGCUUCGCUCGAGGGUCCGUACGCAGAUGCUGCGGGAGGGCCCAGAAUGGGACCUGAAGAGGGGCCUCCUCCUGGAGCUGCGCGGGCUCGGGGACAGCAGGAGGAUGGGACGGCGGCGACGGCGGCGCCUCCUCCUGCGCUGGCGCUGUAUACGGCAGAAGGCGUUGCUCUAGUGCCGACGGCCCCUGGGGGAACAGCUGUAGGGGCGGCGGCUAAAGAAGAGGGAACUGCAGAGCCCCCCGCAGUCCCGGCUCGGCCGGAGGGGCAGCAGCCACCGCCGCGCCGGACGGCGCCGCCGCUGCGGGAGCUCGAGGGAGCGGGGCUGCCUCGUCGGCCGCGUCCCCAGCCUCGCGCGCACCAAGGCUCCUCCCUCCGCCAAGUCCUCGGGGUACGACGUCGAUGUGUUUCUCUAAGAACUGAAGACACUAAAAUAGAGUGGAAGACGGCUUCUCGUUAGAAGUGCCUGUCGACGACACGUUCGACAGAGACUACAACAGUUCGUAUAUACCGGAGUAACGUUCCACCUUCAGAAACCUAGAAAGUCUUGUCCCGAGAUAGAUGGUUGUUCACUAUAACUACAACAUCAUAAGCUCUGGUCCCGAUUCUGAGGAGUUCCGGAUAUACGAGAACGCUUUCGUAAUAGAGUUUUUCCACAACGGUUUUUCUAUGUCCAUUAUCGUUUCCGGGCACACGGUUAGCACUUUAAGCACCUUUCUUAAUCACCUUAUGGAAAACUGUAGUCGAAACUAUAACUACCACCUGGUGUUCGUCGCCUGAAGUAGUUCCUACGGUAGUUCUUCUACGGACGAAAUUCUGGAAACACAUACUAAGACUUCCAAAAGGAAGUAGUUUCUCUUGAGUUACUCCAGAUAUGACCACCCCAACCCAGUAUACGAGAAGAGUGUUACAACUAGUGUGUAAAUGUCAACUAGACCCCUGACUUUCUAUACUACCCGAUAGCUGUUAGGUUCCUUGUGUUAAACCCUUAAGAAAACUAGUUCAAAAAACUGAAAAUACCUGCGUUCAACUUGAUAUGCCUACAACCUUAUAGGACGUUGAGACGUUCUUGGAAAAAGAACUUCUCACUAUUUCUGAAACACUUAGAACUGGCCGGUGUAGAAUAUCGGUAAGUUCUAGGGUACCAUGGUCUAUUACUAUAGCCCUUCUUAAGGAAGUUGAUGAAGUUCCACUUUAGUCGUAAAAACUUCCGAAUAAGACACAAUUGACUACCGUUCAACUAAUGCUCGAACCCUGGUUUGUCCUCGUAAGACCCGUGGUAACAGUCUGGCCUAAGCCACGAGGAGCUGGCAUUUCCGACCUUGUGACUACCACACAAUCGACUGUACAAUCGUCUUGGAACCCUUGGUAACGGGGUUGCCAAACUGUCACUCUUACUGCGUAACAUAUUGACCGUGCGUAAUCUGCUGCUACUUGGUGACGGGUCUUUGUGAGUUGGACGUAGGCUCCUGUGAUCAAGCAGUGGUGACCCCUUUGCGUUCAGGAGGUUCAGUUUUUUCUUUAGUGCUUUCUUCCGUUUCCGGCUACGUAGUUCGUCACUACUAUGGCUCCUCCCCAGACCUUUCCCUUCUCUCGUGCCAGCCCCGUUUCCCAGUCGUGUCUCACUUUUCAGCGCAGCGUCACCCCCUUCGUCGUCUUCUUCCUUUCCCCGCGCUCUCAUACUGUCUAAAUGUUUGUGCGAGGGUGUCAUGUGCGUGUAAUCGUCUACCAUUCAGCACACGACGAUGACUAUCUGUCGCCCUUCUCGCAACACACUGUGGUACCUCCGUACGAUCGGUCCAUCAUACGGGUUUACACAACAAGAUAAACAAAAUAAUCAAAUAACGAUAGGUCAGGAACAUUACGACUAGUUUGGUUUAAAAGUCAAUAUAAAAAACUUAGUCGUCAAAAUGGCUCGUGGCGUGGCACUAGCGUUUCAACAAGGUCC